rnacentral:tRNA from 2 species
AGCUUCUUAGCGCAGUAGGUAGCGCGUUGGGCUCAUACACCCCCUAUGAAUCCUUUCCACUCUCGAGUGGUGAAACCCAAAGGUCGUCGGAUCGAAACCGACAGAAGCUA